UACGGGGGGAGCAAGCGUUGUUCGGAUUUACUGGGCGUAAAGGGCGCGUAGGCGGUCAGCACAAGUCAGUUGUGAAAUCUCCGGGCUUAACUCGGAAAGGUCAACUGAUACUGUGCGACUAGAGUGCAGAAGGGGCAACUGGAAUUCUCGGUGUAGCGGUGAAGUGCGUAGAUAUCGAGAGGAACACCUGCGGCGAAGGCGGGUUGCUGGGCUGACACUGACGCUGAGGCGCGAAAGCGUGGGGAGCGAACCGG
rnacentral:rRNA from 1 species